AGAGUUAAAUAGUACGUGAAAUUGUUGAAAGGGAAACGAUUGAAGUCAGUCGUACCUGCGGAUAAUCAGCCUUUAGGAUGCGAUUUUGUGGAGUGUGAGGAGCUAAUCGCCUUCAUGCCUGUAUAUUCGUGUACUUGGGGUGUACUUAUUCGUGUGGUAAGUUAACAUCAAUUUUGGUCGUCAUAAAAUGACUGGAGGAAUGUAGCUUCGAUCUCGUAUUGAAGUGUUAUAGCCUUUGGUAGAUGUGAUUAUCGGGAUUGAGGAUUGCAACGGAUACCCUUCGGGGCUACUUGUCUGAUCUCUGAUCGUUGCUCUGGUGCCGAAAGCGUGCUUACGGUUAUCAAAGUCGAUGGUUAAUAGGUUAGAACGGGUUAAAUUCGUUAAGGAUGUUGACGUAAUGGCUUUAAACGACC
rnacentral:sRNA from 1 species